UACGAAGGGAGCUAGCGUUGUUCGGAAUUACUGGGCGUAAAGGGCGCGUAGGCGGGAUGGCAAGUCAGUUGUGAAAUCUCUCGGCUCAACCGAGAAACGUCGCUGAUACUGCCGUUCUGAGGGAUGCAGAGGAGACUGGAAUUCCCGGUGUAGCGGUGAAAUGCGUAGAUAUCGUAAGGAAGACCAGUGGCGAAGGCGGGUCUCUGGACAGUUCCUGACGUGAGGCACGAAGGUCAGGGGAGCAAACGGG
rnacentral:rRNA from 1 species